CACAACGUAUAUUACCAUCAUUCAACAAAGUUCAAACAAUCAAAAACCAGCAAGAUCAAAAUGAAUUUAUUGAAUAUUUAAUGGACUCGAAAUUAUCUCUUAUUAACACUGAGGUUCAACAAAUUCGUGACACACGUAAAAUUUUAAUAAAUGUAAUAGAUCCAAAUAAUAUUUAUUCAAAUGUUCCAUUGGUCAAUGAAGCUAUACAAGAUAAUAAUGUAGAUCAAAAUCAACUAACUGAUCAUGCUAUUCAAUCAAGUGUAACUAGUGAUGAUAGUCUGAUGGUAGAUAGUGAUGUAACAAUUGAUAACCAGAUCAACAGUUUGAUAAGCAACAGCAAAUUUAAAAAAUCAUUCCAGUGCCAAAAAAUGUUACUCCAAAGAUUCAAAUACCAGCACCUGUCCACAAUAUUGACAAAGAAAAUG